rnacentral:rRNA from 1 species
UGGGGAAUAUUGGACAAUGGGCGAAAGCCUGAUCCAGCCAUGCCGCGUGUGUGAAGAAGGUCUUCGGAUUGUAAAGCACUUUAAGUUGGGAGGAAGGGCAGUAAGCGAAUACCUUGCUGUUUUGACGUUACCGACAGAAUAAGCACCGGCUAACUCUGUGCCAGCAGCCGCGGUAAUACAGAGGGUGCAAGCGUUAAUCGGAUUUACUGGGCGUAAAGCGUGCGUAGGCGGGUAAUUGAGUCGGAUGUGAAAUCCCCGAGCUUAACUUGGGAAUUGCAUUCGAUACUGGUUAGCUAGAGUGUGGGAGAGAAUGGUAGAAUUCCAAGUGUAGCGGUGAAAUGCGUAGAGAGCUGGAGGAAUACCGAUGGCGAAGACAGCCAUCUGGCCUAACACUGACGCUGAGGUACGAAAGCAUGGGGAGCAAACAGG